AGUGAACGCUGGCGGUAGGCCUAACACAUGCAAGUCGAACGGCAGCACAGUAAGAGCUUGCUCUUACGGGUGGCGAGUGGCGGACGGGUGAGGAAUACAUCGGAAUCUACUUUUUCGUGGGGGAUAACGUAGGGAAACUUACGCUAAUACCGCAUACGACCUACGGGUGAAAGCAGGGGAUCUUCGGACCUUGCGCGAUUGAAUGAGCCGGUGUCGGGUUAGCUAGUUGGCGGGGUAAAGGCCCACCAAGGCGACGAUCCGUAGCUGGUCUGAGAGGAUGAGCGGCCACACUGGAACUGAGACACGGUCCAGACUCCUACGGGAGGCAGCAGUGGGGAAUAUUGGACGAUGGGCGCGAGCCUGAUCCAGCCAGACCGCGUGGGUGAAGAAGGCCUUCGGGUUGUAAAGCCCUUUUGUUGGGAAAGAAAAGCAGCAGGUUAAUACCCCGCUGUUCUGACGGUACCCAAAGAAGAAGCACCGGCUAACUUCGUG
rnacentral:rRNA from 1 species